rnacentral:snRNA from 1 species
GGAUUGUGAGAGCGAUCUGGCUAUGAAAUCUUCCAUCCCAUUGAUUGCCAGGGUUAAUUUGGCUGAUGUUCCUGGCUACAGGAGUGUUCUCUGCCCCCUCCCCACUCCAUGUCCAUCCCUCCUGAGACAGUGAACGUAGUUGGAGAGGACUACCUUCCCACAGAAAACGGGACAGUCCUUGAGUCAAGGGUAUACAAGUAGCUGCACCCCACUACCAGAACCCUCCAGGUCCAAUAUAGCAUUGCCAUUUUUUCCCAAUUUGGGGGUUCUUUUUUUAAUGUAUUGAUAAAGUAUUUAGAUGUAUAUAAAUUUCAUGUUUUAAGGGGUCUCCAU